AGAAGUGCUACUGUGACGCCCCGAACUUAAGCUUCGAGGGUCAAGUACUAAACAUAAUAACUUCUACAUUUAGUACAUGUAAAUACUCUUAAAUAGGAGUAUUUCAUGUUAAAAACUUAUUUUCAAUUUGAUAAAAUCAUUCUUAUAAAAUUUGAUGGCCGGUAAAAGUACAUGUCAACAAGGAAUUAUGCUUUACAUACACGACCUCGGCACUGUCAAGAUUAGUUUGGGCAGCAAGUUUGACAAUUUUUAUAAAAUUCAUCCCAACUCCAUUUUCUAUGAAAUUUGCGGAAUUAGAAAGAUAAUUUCAAGUAGUUUUCUAGGUUAAAAUAUGAGAAUUUUCCUAGAUUUUCUAUGAAAUUUGCGGAAUUAGAAAGAUAAUUUCAAGUAGUUUUCUAGGUUAAAAUAUGAGAAUUUUCCUAGAUCAUAAGAUAUGGACGUUUUACUGAAAAUAGUGAAAUGUUGCACAGAAAAUUUAGAUUGACCCCUUGACGUUUAAAAAUUUAUAUCUCAGGCCACAAAUAUCCAAAUUGAGUAAUUCUUGCGGCCAUAUUUAGAAAACUCAAAGAGGAACACAGAAAUAUUUU
rnacentral:lncRNA from 1 species